GAUGAACGCUAGCGGCAGGCUUAACACAUGCAAGUCGAGGGGUAGAGGAAGCUUGCUUCCUUGAGACCGGCGCACGGGUGCGUAACGCGUAUGCAACCUACCUUUUACAGAGGGAUAGCCCAGAGAAAUUUGGAUUAAUACCUCAUGGUAUAUAUUGAUGGCAUCUGAGAUAUGUUAAAGAUUUAUUGGUAUAAGAUGGGCAUGCGUCUGAUUAGCUAGUUGGCGGUGUAACGGACCACCAAGGCGACGAUCAGUAGGGGUUCUGAGAGGAAGGUCCCCCACACUGGCACUGAGAUACGGGCCAGACUCCUACGGGAGGCAGCAGUAGGGAAUAUUGGGCAAUGGUCGGAAGACUGACCCAGCCAUGCCGCGUGCAGGAGACGGCCCUCUGGGUUGUAAACUGCUUUUANCUGGAAGAAAAGGCCAUGCGUGGCAAAUUGCCGGUACCAGAUGAAUAAGCACCGGCUAACUCCGUGCCAGCA
rnacentral:rRNA from 1 species